UGCAGUCGAACGGUGAAGCCCAGCUUGCUGGGUGGAUCAGUGGCGAACGGGUGAGUAACACGUGAGCAACCUGCCCCUGACUCUGGGAUAAGCGCUGGAAACGGCGUCUAAUACUGGAUAUGUGACGUGACCGCAUGGUCUGCGUCUGGAAAGAAUUUCGGUUGGGGAUGGGCUCGCGGCCUAUCAGCUUGUUGGUGAGGUAAUGGCUCACCAAGGCGUCGACGGGUAGCCGGCCUGAGAGGGUGACCGGCCACACUGGGACUGAGACACGGCCCAGACUCCUACGGGAGGCAGCAGUGGGGAAUAUUGCACAAUGGGCGCAAGCCUGAUGCAGCAACGCCGCGUGAGGGAUGACGGCCUUCGGGUUGUAAACCUCUUUUAGCAGGGAAGAAGCGAAAGUGACGGUACCUGCAGAAAAAGCGCCGGCUAACUACGUGCCAGCAGCCGCGGUAAUACGUAGGGCGCAAGCGUUAUCCGGAAUUAUUGGGCGUAAAGAGCUCGUAGGCGGUUUGUCGCGUCUGCUGUGAAAUCCGGAGGCUCAACCUCCGGCCUGCAGUGGGUACGGGCAGACUAGAGUGCGGUAGGGGAGAUUGGAAUUCCUGGUGUAGCGGUGGAAUGCGCAGAUAUCAGGAGGAACACCGAUGG
rnacentral:rRNA from 1 species